GGAAAUCGUACACGGUACCCGUAGACUUGCACGGGUACCCGCAGCACUUGAGAGCUUGCUCUCUGGGUGGCGAGUGGCGGACGGGUGAGGAAUACAUCGGAAUCUACUCUGUCGUGGGGGAUAACGUAGGGAAACUUACGCUAAUACCGCAUACGACCUACGGGUGAAAGCAGGGGACCUUCGGGCCUUGCGCGAUUGAAUGAGCCGAUGUCGGAUUAGCUAGUUGGCGGGGUAAAGGCCCACCAAGGCGACGAUCCGUAGCUGGUCUGAGAGGAUGAUCAGCCACACUGGAACUGAGACACGGUCCAGACUCCUACGGGAGGCAGCAGUGGGGAAUAUUGGACAAUGGGCGCAAGCCUGAUCCAGCCAUACCGCGUGGGUGAAGAAGGCCUUCGGGUUGUAAAGCCCUUUUGUUGGGAAAGAAAUCCAGCUGGCUAAUACCCGGUUGGGAUGACGGUACCCAAAGAAUAAGCACCGGCUAACUUCGUGCCAGCAGCCGCGGUAAUACGAAGGGUGCAAGCGUUACUCGGAAUUACUGGGCGUAAAGCGUGCGUAGGUGGUUAUUUAAGUCCGUUGUGAAAGCCCUGGGCUCAACCUGGGAACUGCAGUGGAUACUGGAUGACUAGAAUGGGGAGAGGGUAGGGAAUUCCUGGUGUACCAGGGAAAUGCGA
rnacentral:rRNA from 1 species